rnacentral:rRNA from 1 species
AAUAGAUACCCCGGUAGUCCACGCUGUAAACGUUGGACACUAGGUGUGGCGGUCUGAUCAACGACUGCCGUGCCGAAGCUAACGCACUAAGUGUCCCGCCUGGGGAGUACGGCCGCAAGGCUAAAACUCAAAGGAAUUGACGGGUCCCCGCACAAGCGGCGGAGCAUGCGGCUUAAUUCGAUGCAACCCGAAGAACCUUACCUGGGUUUGACAUCAUGGGAAAAGCCGUGGAAACACGGUGUCCGUAAGGGCCCAUGACAGGUGGUGCAUGGCUGUCGUCAGCUCGUGUCGUGAGAUGUUGGGUUAAGUCCCGCAACGAGCGCAACCCUUGUCCUAUGUUGCCAGCGGUUCGGCCGGGGACUCAUAGGAGACUGCCGGGGAUAACUCGGAGGAAGGUGAGGACGAUGUCAAGUCAUCAUGCCCCUUAUAUCCAGGGCUGCACGCAUGCUACAAUGGUCGGUACAACGGGCAGCGAUCCUGCGAAGGUGAGCGAAUCCCACAAAGCCGGCCUCAGUUCGGA